AGCAGCGGAAGUGAGGGGCGCCUCGGGAGAAUGAAAUGAAAACCCUGUAGUCCAAGGCAACUUUGCGGAUCAGGCGCUGUGGGCUGAAUCCUGGAGAAGGACAAGUCCAAGGCGGGCUCUGAUCCUUCUGCAGUCCUGGGCCGUGUUAACCCGCCUGGGUGAGCCCCAGUGCCUUUAACUCGACACGCUCCCUGUGAGUUCACCUCCUGCACAGGCCGCAUGGAGACCGAAGCCUAGCCUGCCGGCAGCUGCAGCCAAUAUGUCUACACGGUUGAGCAUGGCAGGAACUUUGAGCCGGGACACCAGUUCACCCGAGAUGUGCUUCCCCUCAGAGGGAAGCUGAACACCCGAGCUGACCUUGCCCCCUUCUGGGAGGGACCCCAUCUCACAGUGGCAGCAGAGGCUGCGGGUCAGUGGGGUGAUGACCGGGCCCUCAGAGACCUUGCUCUCUCUCUUUGCAGAACCCCAUAAAUCCUUCCAAAGGGAGUAAUUCCCUCAGGAUCAAGAGGGCCCUCCGCAUUCCUGAAAUCAAUGAAGGCAAAAUGUACAGGGAUUUCUGAGAAAAGUAACCGUGGUGUGAGCAUGAUCCCUGGGUGUUACUAUGCAGCAGAGGAGGCCUUUUUUUUUUCCUCCACUGAAUGGUGUUCUUUGCUCUCAAGUUAACUCAUGCACUGGAUUUGGUCCAAGUACAUUUUGUUUCUUGAUUUCCAGCCAGCCUUCUCUCAGUUGUGGUGAAUUCUCUGCUUCGCUCCUGUCCUUCCCCAAUCCCGUUCUCUCUCUUUGUCAGCCUUUCAACUUUUCUCUGUGGCUGAACCGAUACAGAGGCAAACCCACCGGCUUAGGUAGGGCUUCCCCUGGAGUGAGGCCGGAGGGAGUCUGAAUGGCAGCCCCUCACUCAGCCACAGCCUGCGCAGCAAGGAAGGUCUGCGAGCGGCUGAAGCAGAAAGUGUUUGAACUCUGCCCCCUGCCAAAUGAUUUCCAGAUGUGUAAACUCCAGCCUCCCUCUGUUCUCCGACUGUAGCCCUGCCAACAUACAUCUGCAGAUUUCUAGUGCACAGGAAACAUGAAAGAGUAUCUUUUACAACAUCUGCUCUCUUUCCCUAGUUGCCCCCCUCUGUCCUCUCAGACUGCCCCAUAUUCCAUCUCCCCCCCCUUAAACAAAUUCAUUAAGGAAUCAUUGCAUAGCUCACCUUGACUCACAGAUGCCGGCUCAUCUGUCCUCACCCACCCUCCCUGCCCCCACCAAGCCUGUUCUCGGCUCUCUGGACGGUUGACCGUAGCACCACUAGACUCAUUAAAGGAGCAUAUUGGACUUGCUGAGGGAGAAAAGAACCGAGUUUUCUCCACUGGGCUGGUGCCAGUCCGCAAGCUGCAAGGGGAGAGCUUGGCCAUAAGGAGGACAGGGCAGGCCCUGAAGAGUUCGCCUGCUGCCCAUUCCUGGGAAGAGGUGAAGUCUUUCAGGGCAAACCAUUUUCCACGGACAUUCAGUGUCUUGGAAUAAACAAGGCAGGCUUCUGUAAAAUUGGAAGUAUUGAUAUGCAGAAUGAGUUCCUUGCCUCUCAUCUCCUGGGGGAUGGCACCCAUCAAACUAAGAGGAGAGAAGAAGACCUUUUCUUAACAUAACUCAGAGGGGGAGAAAAGAAUCAGAGAUCCUUUCAGCAAAAUAGAACAGAAGAUUGUUACUGAGGCAUCCACUCUCACUAGGAGAACAGUUUGAUCACUGUGGAAAUGAACGCUUGACCUUCAUUCUUCCCUUCAUCCGUGUGGACCCUAAACUCUCUCCAGCUCCAUCCCAGGGGACGUGGAAUGGAGCCAAAUGACAAAAUCUAGGAGAGGAAAAGAGGGUGCCCUAUGGAAGGGAGCAGAGAGUUGAAGGGGCCUAAGGGCUCAGGGGCCUGAGAGAGGAACGGUUUUAGGUGAGGGGCCCCUGCCAACCCAGGACCUGUGUUGAAGGCCUGCAGGCUUACCUGGGAGGCAGUAUAGCUUUCAGGGGCUCAGGAGAGCUGCUCCUGAGUACCCCCCCAGGGCGAGCCUAAUAGGUAGCUAAUAGGGGACUUUCUGGACCCUGGGUAAGACUGUCCUGCCCUGAUCUGAAGGGUGCAGUGGAGGAGACUGGGCGGCAUUUACGUUCUGCUUUUUUUAUUUUUAUUUUUUAAAAAUUUUAACCAUAUUUAACUGUACAGUUCAGUGGCACUAAGUACAUUCACAUUGUUGUGCAACUCUCACCAUCAUCCAUCUCCCGAAUUUCUGUUUGUAGGACAUCUAUUAAGUUAACAUUUUGCUUUAAUAGUCCCAAGCACCUCAGUCUCUGUUGUCAGAUGAAGCCCUAAGAUUUGUCUGGGUUGUCGCCACCCUAGCCUCCCUAUAUUUGAAACAAACAAACAAACAAACAAACACGUCGGCCUCAUACUUCAAGUAGUGCUUGUUUCAGAAAAACAAAGGGAGGAGAUAAAGCUGGUUCAGGAAUUCCCCUCCUUCCACCCAUGUCUUUCCAUGCAGCUCCCCAAAGACGCCGGAACACUCCUGCAGCUCUAGUAGCCCCCUCCUAAAGAAGAGCAGAAUGUGUAGGCUCUGCUCUUUACCCAGGGUGGCUGAGUGGAGGGCAAAUAAGCCUUUCUCUUGUGCAUGAGGACUUGACCUUUGGGUAACUGUACAGCUCUGUUAUUCUGGCAACCUCUUAAGGGUAAAAUGCAAACUGUAUUUCCAAGCAACAUUGCUGGCAAUAAAAUAACCCCUGUCUGGUCAUUUGUAUUCGGGCUGGGGGGAGCUAUCAAGGACCAUACAUUCCUGCUAAGGACACCAUUCUUUAGGCCUCCCUGGGUGUGGUGACUUUUAUAACGGGGUGUCCCCUGCGGGGCAGGAAAGCCUGUCUAGGAAGUUGCUAUAGGAGAUACUGGCUCCUUUGGGGAGUGAGGAUAUUAAGCCAGGUUAGCUCUCACAGCUGCCCAGUGUGGCUCUCAUCCCUUGUAUCUGAGCAGAAGCUAGUGCUGAAUGGCUGUUCAGGUUGAUAUACAGACUUUCCCUGAUGCAGACCCCUGGUGCUGCCCUGCUGGUGACCUGUGGUCCUGCCCUACAUUGUUCUGAGUAGAUCAGUUGUGGCCUAUGAUUAUCGUGUGAGUGUCUAGUUGGGGCUAAGAAGAUCCUCUGAUGGGUGAUAGAGAAGGUAUAGCUGACUUCCUGUUAAUGUAUUACUCCCCUCAGGGGUAAUUACCUUUUACAAAAGUAGACUGGUGGGUGGAGGGCAUACUUAGGGUGCCCAGUGUGCCUCACAUUACACCCAUAGGGCACAUUCUGGCUUCAGGACUUUUAAACACCCCUGAAAUGAUGCCCGAGAAGAAUCUGGGUGGUAUCUAAUUUUGCUUUGCAUAUACCUAUCACCCAAAGCUGUUAGAACUAUAAAAAUCACACUGGCCUUCUACAUGACAGUUCUUACUAUAAAGGCUCUAACUUCAAAAUUCAGGGAACUAAUGUGAAGGGUUUCCAUUUUCUAAGUUUACCUAUGCCAAUUAUAAAUUCAAUUACUGGAGAAAUAACUAGUGGUUUCACUAUGACGUGGAGCAGGGUGAGAAUUUCAUUUAUUACCUGUCCUCUGUACUUUCUCCUCUAACCAGAGAAAUAGUAGCAAAUGGCAUUUAUGAUUUCUUGGUAGCAGUGUAAGGUCAAAACAACUCUGCAUUUCCCUUUCUCCAGUACACAGUUGUUCUGGUAGGUGUCCAUAGGUCACUUUGGGGAAAGAUUGAGGGAAUGUUUAUUGUUUAUGCUUGUAAUGGACUUGCAGGGCUCUUCUUCGAGGAGACCCAGUCUCCCCUUCAAUCAAUGGGCUCUGAGUCUAUGAACAAACUUACCUGGGAACCCAGGUGGAGGGCCAUAAUUUUUCCAGUGUAGCAUCCAACU